UACAGAGACUGCAAGCGUUAUUCGGAUUCACUGGGCGUAAAGGGCGCGUAGGCGGCUUUGUAAGUCGGGGGUGAAAGCCUGUGGCUCAACCACAGAAUUGCCUUCGAUACUGCAUGGCUUGGGACCGGAAGAGGUAAGUGGAACUGCGAGUGUAGAGGUGAAAUUCGUAGAUAUUCGCAAGAACACCAGUGGCGAAGGCGGCUUACUGGUCCGGUUCUGACGCUGAGGCGCGAAAGGUCAGGGGAGCAAACGGG
rnacentral:rRNA from 1 species